ACACGUGGUAUCCUGUCUGAAUAUGGGGGGCCCAUCCUCCAAGGCUAAAUACUCCUGACUGACCGAUAGUGAACCAGUACCGUGAGGGAAAGGCGAAAAGAACCCCGGCGAGGGGAGUGAAAAAGAACCUGAAACCGUGUACGUACAAGCAGUGGGAGCACGCUUAGGCGUGUGACUGCGUACCUUUUGUAUAAUGGGUCAGCGACUUAUAUUCUGUAGCAAGGUUAACCGAAUAGGGGAGCCGAAGGGAAACCGAGUCUUAACUGGGCGUUAAGUUGCAGGGUAUAGACCCGAAACCCGGUGAUCUAGCCAUGGGCAGGUUGAAGGUUGGGUAACACUAACUGGAGGACCGAACCGACUAAUGUUGAAAAAUUAGCGGAUGACUUGUGGCUGGGGGUGAAAGGCCAAUCAAACCGGGAGAUAGCUGGUUCUCCCCGAAAGCUAUUUAGGUAGCGCCUCGUGAAUUCAUCUCCGGGGGUAGAGCACUGUUUCGGCAAGGGGGUCAUCCCGACUUACCAACCCGAUGCAAACUGCGAAUACCGGAGAAUGUUAUCACGGGAGACACACGGCGGGUGCUAACGUCCGUCGUGAAGAGGGAAACAACCCAGACCGCCAGCUAAGGUCCCAAAGUCAUGGUUAAGUGGGAAACGAUGUGGGAAGGCCCAGACAGCCAGGAUGUUGGCUUAGAAGCAGCCAUCAUUUAAAGAAAGCGUAAUAGCUCACUGGUCGAGUCGGCCUGCGCGGAAGAUGUAACGGGGCUAAACCAU
rnacentral:rRNA from 1 species